UGGGGAAUAUUGCACAAUGGGCGCAAGCCUGAUGCAGCCAUGCCGCGUGUGUGAAGAAGGCCUUCGGGUUGUAAAGCACUUUCAGCGAGGAGGAAGGGUUCAGUGUUAAUAGCACUGUUCAUUGACGUUACUCGCAGAAGAAGCACCGGCUAACUCCGUGCCAGCAGCCGCGGUAAUACGGAGGGUGCAAGCGUUAAUCGGAAUUACUGGGCGUAAAGCGCACGCAGGCGGUUUGUUAAGUCAGAUGUGAAAUCCCCGCGCUUAACGUGGGAACUGCAUUUGAAACUGGCAAGCUAGAGUCUUGUAGAGGGGGGUAGAAUUCCAGGUGUAGCGGUGAAAUGCGUAGAGAUCUGGAGGAAUACCGGUGGCGAAGGCGGCCCCCUGGACAAAGACUGACGCUCAGGUGCGA
rnacentral:rRNA from 1 species